CGGAUCCUGCGGAUAAAUAGAGCAAUUUAAUUUAAUUUAUUGUACGCAAAAAUAAACCAUUGCUAACGAAAAACGAUUCUGAGCCGAGUUGUUAUUGUUGUCGGGGCAAUUCAGAAAUCAACAAAAAUGUCAGUAGAUUUUCCCGUUUAUUUAGAAAACAUGCAACGGAAGUCCAUUACAAAUAACCUCCCGAAUGCAGCAACUGAUAACGCGACGAGGAAGUUCUUAUAACAACAUGUUUGGAA